GACACUGCCAGGGGGAACAGUGAUGCCCUGGGCUCAGCCCACAACUCCACAGGCCCUGACACUGCUGAGGGUGAACAGUGAUGCUGCAGGCUCAGCCCACAGCUUCACUGGCCCUGAAACUGCCAUGGGGAAGUGAUGCCACAGGCUCAGCCCAUGACUCCACGGGCCCUGACAUUGCCGAGGGGGAAGUGAUGCCGCGGGAUUAGCCCACAGCUCCACUGGCCUUGACACUGCCAGGGGGAAGUGAGGCCACGGGCUCAGCCCACGAUUCCACAGGCCCUGACACUGCCAGGGGGAAGUGAUGCCAAAGGCUCAGCCCACGACUCCACAGGCCUUGACACUGCUGAGACGGAACAGUGAUGCCACGGGCUUAGCCCAGGAUGCCACAGGCCCUGAUGUCUGGGAGCGGCCCCCCAGCCCAGAGCCCUGGCACUAUGAGUUUCCCGCCCAGCCGGAGCCCUGGGUCUGGAAAGACUCAGCCGCACAGAUGCAGAGGAGGGCAGGGGCUGCCUGCUCUGACCGCAGCAGAGACUGGGCCCCGUGCGGGACACAGGGAUGAGCCGUGGGCCCUGCCCUGCCCCGGCGAGGCCGCCCCGAGAGCUGCACUGUUUUCAGAUGACAAAUGGGACAGAGCGUUUCUUUGAAGGAACGUGGCCUUGUGACAGGCUCCUCACCUGACGCUCAUGAUGUGGCCCUCGGGGUGCUUCUGCAGGUGCGCCUUCACCACCCAGGCUGUGUGCUCGCGGAGAAGCGGAGGGACACAGGAGGCGGCUGUGAUUCUGGGAGAACUCAAUGGAAAAACAUCACAACCUCGAAGGACUACGGACCCUCCUGCCACUUCAGCCCCUCUCAAACCUCCUCAGGGGUCCCCUCAGUCCUCCAGCCCCAGGGGGAGGGUGAACACAGUGGUGAGAACCCCUCUUAUUUGCUCUGCUCCCUGGCCUCUCCUGUUGGCAUUCCCAUUCCAUUCCCCGGUCAGAGGGGCACCCUAUCCUGCCUUGUCUGUGCAGGUCCCUGUAUUCCUAAAGGUGAAUGAGUUUGCUGUCUGUCCUCACCCCCAAUGACAGCUGAUGGGCGGGGGACUGGCUAUGUGUGGGACUGAGUCCCAGCUAGGCGGGCCCAGUACUUAUCCGGGCCUGACGGUCAAGCUCACUGCCCUCGGUGUCCCCAGCACACGGUGUGGGAGACUCCUGUCUCCACCCAGCUUCACCCUGGACACAGGUCCACUCGUCCUGUAUGUGUUCUGGCUAAACAGCCACUUCUUCCUUAACAUAAAGAUGACCAGGUGCUGUCUUGAAUCAAGAGCUUGGGAAGCCAGCCGCUGGGUGUGAGGACCCACAGGCAGCCCUGGGAGGCCAGGUGGUGACAACAAGGCUGGUGGCCACCAUACCAUGGAGGGAGCUUGGAGGGGACCCCAGGCUCCAGUGACUGCUGCUCUGCCGACAGCUUGACCACAGCCCAGGAGGGACCCUGAGCGAGAACCAUCCGCUGAGCCAUGCCCGGACCCCGAAUCCCCAGGCUGUGCCAUAACCAGUGUUGGCUGCCUUAGGCUGGGCAAAGACCUCGCCUGGGCUCAGGCUACACCUGGUUCAUAGAUGAAGAUCAAGUCAAACCUGAGUUUUCCCUUUUCUAACUACUUUUCCUUCAUUGGAACUUUGUAACGUAAGAACUCUUUAUAAAAGGUUGUAAUGUGAGUUGCCAAGGUCAAUGGAGCUUCGUUUCCAACUUCAUGGGACACUUCCAUGUAAUUCUGACUACGUAGUAACCUGCUCACUUGAGGCUGCCUGCCUUCUUGCCUGAAGCCAUUUGUACCCCCAGCAAAGAGCGACUGAAAGACGGACUAGGACAAGAAAACCCUACUAGAAGGCUGACGGAGCCUUGGAACUCAGGGUUCUGCAAAUGAAGGUUCGGGAGUCUACUUGCUGGCUGGUUAGCGAGGCCGUUAUCACCUCAUGAUGCUCCUACGCAGCAAGACUGCUUAGUGUGGCCUUACACACUAAGUCUGUUGGCCCAGUUUUAACCUUGAGUACCUGAGAGAAGAGGACUUCAAGUGCUUACUGGUGAAGAUCAAAGACUACAGCCUUCAGUACGGGUUACACCUCAGCAUGAAGAAAACACAAAUCCUCACAACAGGACCAAUGAGCGACAUCAUGAUAAAUGGAGGAAAGACUGAAGUUGUCAAGGAUUUUCAUUUCACUUGGAUCCACAAUAAAUGCCCAUGGAAGCAGCAGUCAAGAAAUCAAAUGACAUAUUGUAUUGGGCAGAUCUGCUGCAAAAGACCUCUUUAAAGUGUUAAAAAGCAAAGACGUCACUUUAGGGACUAAGGUGCGCCUGACCCAAGCAAUGAUAUUUUCAAUUGCCUCAUAUGCAAGUGAAAGCUGGACAGUGAAUAAGAAAGACCGAAGAAGAACCCAUGCCUUUCAAUUAUUAGCAAAGAAUACUGAAUGUACCAUGGACUGCCAGAAGAACGAACAAAUCUGUCUUGGAGGAAGUACAGCCAGAAUGCUCCACAGAAGCGAGGGUGGCAAGCCUAUAUCUCACAUACUUUGGACAUGUUAUCAGGAGGAAUCAGUCCCUGGAGAAGGACAUCAUGCUUGGUAAAGUAGAAUGUCAUUGAAAAAGAGGAAGACCCACGAUGAGAUGAAUUGACACAGUGGCUGCAGCAAUGGGCUCAAAUAUAGCAAAGAUUGUGAGGAUGGUGCAGGACAGGGCAGUGUUUGGUUCUGUUGUACACAGGGUCGCUAUGAAUCAGAACUGACUGGACAGUACCUAACAACACCCAGCGGCAGGAGUGAGACGGGUGUCUUGGUAACGAUCACAUUUACACGUGGAUUUUUCAGGGGAAACAGAGGCUUUGGGUGACUUUGCCUCAUAUUCUGAAAACGAUGGGUUCUGUUUGGGAAGUCUAGGUAGGAAAACACAGCUUCUCUGUUGUAAUCACGACAGGCUGAGCUUCCCGGGAGCUUGUCUGCAGCGUGGGCCAUCCUAUCGGAUGUGGACCUGCUAGGGAUGAACUGACGGCCUUGUUCCAGGACUAAAUCAGACGUCUCCACACUUGGACUGGCAGGGAAGUGAGUGGGGCAGACGAGAAGACUAGAUUCCCAGAUGCAGCAGACACCCAGGAGCCAGGCAAGGUGGAGAGAAGGGGGCCUGGAGCUGAGCUGGCUCAUCUGCCGGUGAAAACUUGGAGCCCAGAGAGCCUGAGAGACCUCAGGUUCAGAUCUGAUGGCAGGGAGUCUUUCUAGAUAGAUCUUUCUUUAAGAUGUCUUCUUAGAGCCUCACAAGCUACUACCUCACCUCAUGAAGUCUGUGUGCUCAAAGCCUGAUGUUGUUUCAGUGUGGGGUGGGGGGACAGCCUGGAGGAGGGCCAUAGAGAUGGAGGUAGGCACCCGGGAGAGGCCCAGCCCUGGCCCCCCACACCUGCACACCGAGAACAAAUGCCCCCAAGCAGAGGGGACAGCCCCUGAGGACAGCACAGGGGACAGCCCUGGCCCCCAGCCCCUGGCCACAUGAAGAGCCCCCGAGGGCAGCACAGGGGACAGCCCGGGCCCCUGGCCCCUGGCCACAAGAAGAGCCCCUGAGGACAGCACAGGGGACAGCCCUGACCCCCGGCCCCUAGCCACAGGAAGAGCCCCCAAGGAUAGCACAGGGGACAGCCCUAGCCCCUGGCCCCAAGAAGAGACCCCGAGGACAGCAGAGGGGACAGCCCCCGAGGACAGCAGAGGGGACAGCUCCUGAGGACAGCACAGGUGACAGCCCUGGCCCCUGACCCCUGGCCACAGGAAGGGGAAGAACCACUCACCUCCCUGCUUACUGCUGUCAAGACAGAUGGAAACCUUUCGAGCCAGACCUGCGAGGAGACACGGGCGGGGGAUGGGCGCACAAGCCAGAUGGUCAGCUGGAGCAGAGUUAGCCAAAGUCACACGGGCACACCAAACCAGUUAGAAUGACCGCAGAGUGGGGGGAGGCAGAAAGGAGCAGACAGAAGGCGAGCCUGGAGAAAUGGCCACCCCCAUGGGUGGGCUGCGGCCCGGCACACGUGUGACGAAGACUAACGCGACCUCAGCAUCUAUGAGCGGGAGCUCGGCAGAGGCCACAACUCGGGGGACACAUGUGCCCAGCUGCCGUCAGUGCCGCCUGCCAGGCUGGUGUAGGCGGGCUCAUGGGGGAGAGGCACAGUCAGCUGGGGGGUUAAUGGUAGAAACGUGCAGUUUGUCCUGGGCCAUGGUGGGGAACAACGGGGACCCUCUGAGUCGUGGGAUCCUGGGACCUGGGGUGGGCCUGAGUGGGGGCAGCUCCUGGAGCCCACAGCCGGCCAGGUGAGCACAGGCGAGAGGGGCCUUCCCAUUGAAGAGGCUGCAGGGCUGGGCCCUUGCAAAAGAGGCCUGUGGGUCUUUGCUUGAGGCAGAGCCUCAACAAGGAGCCUCAGGGUUUGUGUGGCUGUCCAGGAACUGCAUGAGGCUCCACUUAGAGCCUGGCACAGAGCUCCGAGGUCUGGGGCCAGGACCAACCCACUCUCCAGCCACUGGUGGGGUGUGUAGGAGCCUGUGAGCGGGACUGUUUCAGACGAGCAAGGGCAUGUGUGUGCGUGUUCAGGCUCUGUGAGUACACGUACAUCUGCACAUCUGUGCACACGUGUGUGUCCCCAGGCUCUGUGUGUACACGUGUAUAUGUAUGUGUGCAUGUCUGAGCGUGUGUAUGUGUGUGCCCCCAGGAUCUGUGUACAUGUAUGUGUGUAUCCCAAGAUGAGUGUGUGCAUGUGUGUAUGUGAGUAUAUGUGUUCCCCCAGGCUCUGUGUACAUGUGUCUCCAGAUGUGUGUGCAUGUGUGUGUGCUCCCAGGCUCUGUGUAGAUGUAUGUGUGUGUCCCCAGAUGAGUGUGUGCAUGCAUGUGUCCCCAGGCUCUGUGUACAUGCAUGUGUCUCCAGAUGAGUGUGUGCGUGUGUGCCCUCAAGAUCUGUGUACACGUGUGUGUCCUCAGAUGAGUGUGCAUGUGUAUGUGAGUGUGUGUCCCCAGGCUCUGUGUCCCCAGAUGAGUGUGUAUGUGUGUGUGAAUGCAUGUGUCCCCAGGCUGUGUGUACAUGUAUGUGUGUGUCCCAGAGUGUGUGUCCCCAGAUGUUUGCGUGUCUCCAGGCUCUGUAUGUACAUGCGUGUGUGCAUGCACUUUGGAAGAUGGAGUAACUCCACAGGUGUCACAGACUUCUGGGAGCAGGGAGGGUGUCCUGCCCGAGAUGGUGUCCUCUCUCCCCCAAAAGUGAUGGGAUCAGGGCAUCUUCUCAGACAAGGAGCCCAGACAGCCGCUCGGCGGGCAGCCAGUGAGAAGUCGGGAUGAGAAGCUCCACAGGGACGAGCCACUGUCACCCUCUGAGGUCGCACUUUCUAAAAACUUUCAGCCCACUUCAUGCCGUGUUCUCCGAGCUUUGUUGAGAAAACGUUCCCUCCCCACCUCCCUGCACACACCAUCCUUCACAGGAGGCCUAGACUUUUGCCUGGAUUUGCAGCUGAAGGAAACAGCGGGGGCAGGGUUGGGAAGGUACAGGGCCAUGUGGAGGACAGAGUCUUCCAGAGCCUGACUGACGUUGGGGCCUCUCCUUUCUCUUUGCGCAGAAGGCUCUGUGCUGCCUUGGGGACCCACAGGCCCUGAGAGCCGCUGCCGCUGGACAGAGGGUGGCCUGCACACAUACAGGGACGCAGCAUGAAAGCUGGGCAGACGUGCCGGCUUCUCACCCCAAAAUGGUGGUGGUGGCGGGGUGGGUGUUUUAACUUCCGUCUCAUGAAAUCCUGAGGGCUUUAUGACCAUGUGAGGAGACAACACCCCCAAAAGCCAUUCCUGGUGGUAGGGUGUCUCCCUGGGAAGCCAUGGGUGUCUGGGCCUGGAGUCCGAGGUGGAGGUUGCUGAGCACCAGUGGGCUGUGGCUCAGCACAGUGAUGCCCCCCAAACCUGAGAGCAAGCAAGGAGAGCAGCCGCCGAGAGCGCGAGCAGGUGCAAAGCUGUGCCCAGAGCAUUGUGGUGGGGCAGGGGAGUGGCCGCCACCUGGCCUUGACCCUGCUGUAAGGCCAGCGACAGGUCCACUCGGCCCCCUGCCCAAAGCAAAGGAAGACAAACCAGCAGGCCCUCUCUGCAUGCGAUCACACCAAACAGGAGUCAGCUUUGCCUGCAAUGCCUCUUUGGGGCACAGAGAGCAUUAGUGCAGGUCCUUUGGGCCUGCCAGCUGCAAUGCUGUUCCAAGCAAGACACAACUUCCAUCUGAGAAUGUGGGUGGGAGCUGGUGGCCUCCCACAGCCGCACCGUGACCCAGGUUGCUGACUGCAGGGAGAGUGGGGUGAGUACCCCAGGUCUGUGUGGUUGCCUGGCUUCAGAGGGACGUGAGGGGCACGUGAGACCCUGCAGGGGCCUCCCCAAGAGGGAUGUGGACCUGGCUCUGGCGGCCUGGUGGGCAGGCUGACCCACCUCGCGUUGUCG